GGACUGGGACAAGGUAACACAUCCAUUAUAACAGUAGGACUGGGACAAGGUAACACAUCCAUUAUAACAGUAGGACAAGGUAACACAUCCAUUAAAACAGUAGGACAAGGUAACACAUCCAUUAAAACAGUAGGACAAGGUAACACAUCCAUUAUAACAGUAGGACUGGGACAAGGUAACACAUCCAUUAUAACAGUAGGACUGGGACAAGGUAACACAUCCAUUAUAACAGUAGGACUGGGACAAGGUAACACAUCCAUUAAAACAGUAGGACAAGGUAACACAUCCAUUAAAACAGUAGGACAAGGUAACACAUCCAUUAUAACAGU